AAUGUGGGGGACAGAGAGGAGGAGAUAGGAGAAGACCAGGGUGGGGCCUGUGGACGGGACACAGACAAAAGGUUCGCGGGCAUGAGAUGCGCCAUCGCAGUGACAGUACCUAGUGCACAGCAAAGGACUAAAGAAAGGAAACUAGCCGGCAUCUGACACCCCUCUCUGCCUUCCCCUGGGGAGCUCUCACAACCAUGUUAAAAAUGCCUGUGGCUGGAGGGGCCUCGCAGAGUUGAGGAUUGAGGUGCAGCCGGCAUGUGGCCAUCAUGAUGACUGUUGUGUUGUUCGCAGAGGGGCCGACCCAACGUGGGAUGCAGAGCUUCCUGAAGCUGCUGAGGGAGAGUGGGGGCGCUGGGCCACCCCUGGCGGAGCUGGUGACUCUUGCAGGCAGGCUGUGCCGAGACCUCCAGGAUGACCCCGCCCAGGCGCAGCCCUUGGUCACAGCCGUGUUGGACAGUCAGCUCCGCCUGCACCUCUUGGACAAUGCGGACGUGGCCUUCGUGUGUGCCCGGGUGCUGGCCCAGCAAGAGCAGCACCAGGCUGCCUGCCGGGUGCUGGAGGGUUGCCGUGUGCCCGGAGGCAGCCAGGAGCUGGUCCAGCUCUGGAACGACAUUCACUACCAUCUGGUCAUGAAGCGGCUGGGCGUGGCUGUGCUGACCCCAGUGCAGAAGUUCCGCUGCAGAAAGAGAAACCCACCACCCCUCUCCCUCUGCCCUGAUGGCCUGAAGAGCCGAAACUUUCCCAGAGAGGUUCGCCGGAAGCUGCACGACUUUGCCUCGAGCGUGAGCACCAACCCCAGCAAGGCCGAGCGGGAGAACCUGGCCUUGGAGACGAGCCUGACCGUAGAGCAAGUGUACAACUGGUUUGCCAAUUACCGGCGGCGCCAGAGGGCCCUUCUCCAGCGCCUGGAGCCAGCGCCGGAGGACACAGUAGAGGACCCCAGUGUGAGGGAGAGGGGUCCGGACCGCCCCCAGCCCUCAGACCACCCCCACCUUGGCUCUGGGUGUGUGGACAGGCCUCAGUGGCCAGCAGGACAGGAGGAAAAUGGGCCUGCACAAUCCAGAGAGACCGCCCAAGGGCCAUGGGAGUCGCUGGCCCUGGCCCCGGACUUUUCUGGAGAUGAGACUAUGCCAAAGCCAUUGCCUCCCAGGUCUCUGCAGGGUGGUGAGAUGUACCAGGAGGGGCCUGGCCACGAUCCUGUCACUCUCCCUGCCAUCUGCCCAGGCCCUGGCGUCUGUCCUCUGGCUGCUGGCAGUGACAUGCUAGACCCUUCUCUGGCUGCCCCUGAGUCAUGGCUGAUGUCUCUUGCACUGGCGUCCUCCAGGGAAGUUUCCUUCCAGACCGGGCAUCUGGUUCACGGGCCUGGGUUGGACUUCAUGAUGCGCCCUGCAGAUGCAGCUGUGGCUGUGUCCGUUACUGCUCUGGGUGAGCCCAGCUCCACAGAGCAUGUACCUGGAGGAAGGUCCGGGCACUGGCGGUGGUCAAGAACAACAGGCUGGCGGCUUCCAGGUGACACAGCCCCCGCCACAGCCUCCUGAAUUCAUCCUGACCCAGAGGUGAGGCACGCAGAGCCAUGGGGCUCAAGCAACAUUUUCUCCGGCCGUGGGUAAGGUAUUGUCUGGUUUACAUACAGACUUGUGACCUCAGAUGUGCAGAUUGAGCCCUUUCCUUAUGGGUUUCUGGAAGAAAAACAACAUUCUUCCCACCCUGCAUCUACCAGAAGAAGAGGGUAGUUUUUCUCUGAGACAAAAGAACACCUAGAAAUAGCAGAGCAGAUAUGAGGUCUGUGUUGUGGACAGUGCUUACGGUUUGUGUCUUCUCCAAGAUCACCCUGGCCCCAGGAGCCUCUUUUUGGGCAUUUUCUUUUCCCUAGACAGAGGUUGUCUGAGUUUUUGAGCAGCAUCAAGGUGGAUUUUAUAUUCCAAACCGUAGUUUCAGAGGUGCUUGGGAGAGCCAUGAACAGCCUAGGUGCUGUGGAUUUUGGCCGUGGGGCCAGGACAACAGUCCAGGAGAAUCUAGCGGUAGAGAAGAGGGAUGGACGAGUGUGAGACGUUGGGGGUCCUUUGGUGGAUCUAUGAUAGGGGUCACCAGGAUCAGGUCCCCAGGGUUCACAGUCUCCCCAGUCUGGGAGCCGAAAGCCAGGUGCCCAGUACGGGCAGAACUACAGUGCCAUGUGUGAGAAAGAAGGGGAGCAGUUCUUUAAGUCACUAAUUUUCAUGCUGAAACAGCAGAUGGUGAGAAAAUGCAGACUAUGCAGAUGGACUCACUUUUUCACUCUUGACCAGGAACCGUGAUGGAGAAAAUGCCCCCACUGGGUACCUUUGUGGUUUGCUUGGUCUCCCCACUGGCUGUAUCAGCCUUGGACUCCCAAGGCCCAGCCCAUCAUUGCUCUGAUCUGAUGACUUUGAUUCCUUCUUUAAAAGCAAAUUCACUGGGGCGUAAGUGGCAUUCAUUAAAGCAACAUGUUUAGAUGGUACAGAUGGUCGUUUUCUGAGUGCGACUUACGUCUCCACCACGAAGCUAUAACUGCUGAGUCGUACAGAGCACUCCCACCUGCUUCUAACCCUGACACCCCCAGGACCAUGGAUCUGCUUUCUUUAUCUGCAUUUUCUAGAAUUCCAUGUAAACGACAUCUAAAAUUUUAAAUUUGGGUGGGGCGAGGGGUCUGGCGCCUUUCACUCGGCCUGAGUACUUUGAGAUUUUCCCCCUGUUGCUGUGUGCAUCAGCAAUCCAUUCCCCUUUAUUUGUGAGUUCUGGUCCUUGAUGUGGCUGGACCAUGGUUUUUUGAUCCAUCACCGGUUUGUAGUCAUUGCUGAGUCCCUGGGUUGGGUUGCUUUGAGCAUUCCUGGACAUACGUGUUUGCCUUCACGUCUCUGGGGUGUGUACACAGAAUGGCUGUGUAGGUGUGCGUCUGCCAGUUUAGGGAACUACCAGACUGUUGUCCCGAGUGGCUGCACCCGUUAUCUUCCCUGCUCUCCCAGCCUGGUCCUAAUGGCCUCUUGUCUCCUUCACACCCCAGGCCUGCCCCUUCUUGACCCUUCCUUCGGGUUUCCACUUGCCGGCCCUUCUCUGUGAGCCUGCCCUGAAGUGCUCUCUGGCUCACCCAAGCCCCCUACUUGAGGUGUCACACAAGCCUCUGUGGCACCUGCACACCGGAGGGCCCUAUGAGAGGACAGUGUUCCUGAAGAGCAUCCAGCACCUGGAAGGGCUGCUUAUGUGCAGAGAGCGGUCAGGGCAUGUAGUGACCUGGCGCCCCAUUGAUUCAGAGCUUGUCCUGACAUCGUCUCUUUUCCAGCCCCCUGGAGUUGGCUCCGGACCCCUCUUUCUCCAGCCCUGUGUCUGCUCUGGACCUGAGCCAGCCCUUGCCCUCCAGCCAGGUGCAGUGGCCCGAUGGCCAGGCCUCUAGUGAUGCCUUCUGGGGAGCCCGGAUGCUCCUUGAGCUUUC